GUGGAGGUAGCUCAGCUGGCAGAGCGCCGCCCCGCCAAGGCGGAGGUCGCGGGGUCAUAGCCCGUCAUCCACUCCA
rnacentral:tRNA from 1 species